AUUGAACGCUGGCGGCAGGCUUAACACAUGCAAGUCGAGCGGGGUGAUGGUGCUUGCACUAUCACUUAGCGGCGGACGGGUGAGUAAUGCUUAGGAAUCUGCCUAUUAGUGGGGGACAACAUCUCGAAAGGGAUGCUAAUACCGUAUACGUCCUACGGGAGAAAGCAGGGGAUCACUUGUGACCUUGCGCUAAUAGAUGAGCCUAAGUCGGAUUAGCUAGUUGGUGGGGUAAAGGCCUACCAAGGCGACGAUCUGUAGCGGGUCUGAGAGGAUGAUCCGCCACACUGGGACUGAGACACGGCCCAGACUCCUACGGGAGGCAGCAGUGGGGAAUAUUGGACAAUGGGGGGAACCCUGAUCCAGCCAUGCCGCGUGUGUGAAGAAGGCCUUAUGGUUGUAAAACACUUUAAGCGAGGAGGAGGCUCUUUUGGUUAAUACCCAAGAUGAGUGGACGUUACUCGCAGAAUAAGCACCGGCUAACUCUGUGCCAGCCGCCGCAGUAA
rnacentral:rRNA from 1 species